rnacentral:rRNA from 1 species
UACGUAGGCGGCGAGCGUUGUCCGGAAUUACUGGGUGUAAAGGGCGUGUAGGCGGGAUUGCAAGUCAGAUGUGAAAUUCCAGGGCUUAACUCUGGAGCUGCAUCUGAAACUGUGAUUCUUAGUGAUGGAGAGGAAAAGUGGUAUUCCUAGUGUAGCGGUGAAAUGCGUAGAUAUUAGGAGGAACACCAGUGGCGAAGGCGACUUUCUGGACAUUAACUGACGCUGAGGCGCGAAAGCGUGGGGAGCAAACAGGG